rnacentral:rRNA from 1 species
UACGUAGGGUGCAAGCGUUAAUCGGAAUUACUGGGCGUAAAGCGUGCGCAGGCGGUUUUGUAAGUCUGACGUGAAAUCCCCGGGCUCAACCUGGGAAUUGCGUUGGAGACUGCAAGGCUAGAAUCUGGCAGAGGGGGGUAGAAUUCCACGUGUAGCAGUGAAAUGCGUAGAGAUGUAGAGGAACACCGAUGGCGAAGGCAGCCCCCUGGGUCAAGAUUGACGCUCAUGCACGAAAGCGUGGGGAGCAAACAGG